GAGUAACGCGUGAGCAACCUGUCCCUUACAGGGGGAUAACACAGCGAAAGUUGUACUAAUACCGCAUAAGACCACGGAUUCACAUGGAUCAGGGGUCAAAAGGAGCAAUCCGGUAAGGGGUGGGCUCGCGUCCGAUUAGAUAGUUGGUGAGGUAACGGCCCACCAAGUCGACGAUCGGUAGCCGACCUGAGAGGGUGAUCGGCCACAUUGGGACUGAGACACGGCCCAAACUCCUACGGGAGGCAGCAGUGGGGAAUAUUGGGCAAGUGGGGGGAACCCUGAACCCCAGCAACGCCGCGUGAGGGAAGUAAGGUUUUCGGAUCGUAAACCUCUGUCCUAUGUGAAGAGGAAGAGACGGUAGCAUAGGAGGAACGCCCCGGCUAACUACGUGCCAGCAGCCGC
rnacentral:rRNA from 1 species